rnacentral:lncRNA from 1 species
CCCGCAUUCUAAAAGUUUCGUUUGAUGAAGAAUCAAAAGUUUCCACGCCAUCAUUCCAUAGCUCUUUCAACUCCUCUACAAGGGGACGUAAGUACGCAUCUAUAUUGUUUCCAGGUGUGUGCUUGCCCGGAACUAUCAUUGAUAGAAUGAAAGAAGUGUGCUUCAUACACAUCCAAGGAGGAAGAUUAUAUGGAGUUAAGAACA